rnacentral:rRNA from 1 species
CCUACGGGAGGCAGCAGUGAGGAAUAUUGGUCAAUGGACGAGAGUCUGAACCAGCCAAGUAGCGUGAAGGAUGAAUGCCCUAUGGGUUGUAAACUUCUUUUAUAUGGGAAUAAAACGUUCCACGUGUGGGAUUUUGUAUGUACCAUAUGAAUAAGGAUCGGCUAACUCCGUGCCAGCAGCCGCGGUAAUACGGAGGAUCCGAGCGUUAUCCGGAUUUAUUGGGUUUAAAGGGAGCGUAGGUGGAUUGUUAAGUCAGUUGUGAAAGUUUGCGGCUCAACCGUAAAAUUGCAGUUGAAACUGGCAGUCUGGAGUGCAGUAGAGGUGAGCGGAAUUCGUGGUGUAGCGGUGAAAUGCGUAGAUAUCAGGAGGAACACCGGCGGCGAAGGCGGCCAGCUGGAACGCGACUGACGCUGAGGCUCGAAAGCGUGGGGAGCGAACAGGAUUAGAUACCCGGGUAGUC